rnacentral:rRNA from 1 species
UACGGAGGGGGCUAGCGUUGUUCGGAAUUACUGGGCGUAAAGCGCACGUAGGCGGAUAUUUAAGUCAGGGGUGAAAUCCUGGAGCUCAACUCCAGAACUGCCUUUGAUACUGAAGAUCUUGAGUUCGGGAGAGGUGAGUGGAACUGCGAGUGUAGAGGUGAAAUUCGUAGAUAUUCGCAAGAACACCAGUGGCGAAGGCGGCUCACUGGCUCGGUACUGACGCUGAGGCGCGAAAGCGUGGGGAGCAAACAGGG